rnacentral:rRNA from 1 species
AUUGAACGCUGGCGGCAUGCUUUACACAUGCAAGUCGAACGGUAACAGGCCGCACGGUGCUGUCGAGUGGCGGACGCGUGCGUAAUGCAACCGAACGUGCCCCGUCGCUGGGGGUAACUACUCGAAAGAGUAGCCAAUACCGCAUACGGUCUAAGAAUGUAAGCGGGGGACCGUAAUAGCUCGAGCGAUUGGAGCGGCCGAUGUCAGAUUAGCUAGUUGGUGAGGUAAAGGCUCACCAAGCCAACGAUUUGUAGCGGGUCUGAGAGGACGACCAGCCACACUGGGACUGAGACACGGCCCAGACUCCUACGGGAGGCAGCAGUGGGGAAUUUUGGGCGAUGGGCGAAAGCCUGAUCCAGCAAUGCCGCGUGCAGGAUGAAGGUCUUCGGGUUGUAAACUGCUUUUGUACGGAACGAACCGACUUUGGUUAAUAUCCGCGGCUAUUGACGGUACCGUAAGAGUAAGCCCCGGCUAACUACGUG